ACGGAAGGCAGCAGUGGGGAAUAUUGCACAAUGGGCGGAAGCCUGAUGCAGCGAUGCCGCGUGGAGGAAGAAGGUUUUCGGAUUGUAAACUCCUUUUAUCAGGGACGAUAAUGACGGUACCUGAAGAAAAAGCUCCGGCUAACUACGUGCCAGCAGCCGCGGUAAUACGUAGGGAGCGAGCGUUGUCCGGAUUUACUGGGUGUAAAGGGUGCGUAGGCGGGGAUGCAAGUCAGAUGUGAAAUGUAUGGGCUCAACCCAUGAACUGCAUUUGAAACUGCAACUCUUGAGUGAGGGAGAGGUAAGCGGAAUUCCUAGUGUAGCGGUGAAAUGCGUAGAUAUUAGGAGGAACAUCGGUGGCGAAGGCGGCUUACUGGGCCUUUACUGACGCUGAGGCACGAAAGCGUGGGGAGCAAACAGGAUUAGAUACCCUGGUA
rnacentral:rRNA from 1 species